ensembl:snRNA U1 U1 spliceosomal RNA
AUACUAAUCAGGCAGGAAAGAUCCUGUGACCAUGAAGGUUUUCACAGGGCGAGGCUUAUCCAUUGCAAUCUGGAUGUACUGACCCCUGUGAUUUCCCCAAACACAGGAAACUCACCUGCAUAAUCUGUGGUAGUUGGGGCCUGUGUUCAUACUGGCCCCUA